UCCACCUUGGGAAACUUUUGCAUAGUGCCCUCCAGCCCUGCCACUGAAUCCAAAGGGCUCCGUGGAAGCUGUGUCAGUGGCCAUGAUUUGGUAUCCACAGGCUGUUGGGUGUUGAAUGUUCCCACUUCACUUGUACACUUGAAUUCUGUGCAACCCCUGCAGAGCAACUGGUAUGGGCCUCCCGUGUGACUCAGAAAGCAGUGACAGGCGAGGCUGGAUGACUCUGAGAUAGUUUUGUUUGAAAGACUUCUCACCCUUGAGUUUACCGGAUUCUGUGCUGCAUGAUCUCAUUGCUGCUAUCUCACCCUCUCUCCACCCUUCCCUCCCGUUGUUUGCUAUUGUAACUGAAGAUGAGACACAAAAAGUUAAACAAACUUCUUAAAAACAGGGAACGCAUCAUCCUGUGUGUUUAUGCAGCAUUAAACACAACAAGAUCUUUAUCUGAAGAUACUGGAGGCUGGACGCUUAUUGGAUAUAAAUGAGCAAAGUUCCCAUCAACUCCAUGAUUUACACCAAUGUAAUGUUUGGCGCCAGGCUGUAUAAAGACAAGCAAGAAAAAAAAAAAAAAAAAAGAAAAA